rnacentral:rRNA from 1 species
GGGGAAUUUUGGACAAUGGGCGCAAGCCUGAUCCAGCAAUGCCGCGUGAGUGAAGAAGGCCUUCGGGUUGUAAAGCUCUUUCAGUUGAGAAGAAAAAGUCGUGACUAAUAAUCAUGAUUCAUGACGGUAUCAACAGAAGAAGCACCGGCUAACUACGUGCCAGCAGCCGCGGUAAUACGUAGGGUGCAAGCGUUAAUCGGAAUUACUGGGCGUAAAGGGUGCGCAGGCGGUUCUGUAAGUCAGAUGUGAAAUCCCCGGGCUUAACCUGGGAACUGCGUUUGAAACUGCAGAGCUAGAGUGCAGCAGAGGGAGGUGGAAUUCCAUGUGUAGCAGUGAAAUGCGUAGAGAUAUGGAAGAACAUCGAUGGCGAAGGCAACCUCCUGGGCUAGCACUGACGCUCAUGCACGAAAGCGUGGGGAGCAAAC